ACGGAAGGCAGCAGUGGGGAAUAUUGCACAAUGGGGGAAACCCUGAUGCAGCGACGCCGCGUGAGCGAAGAAGUAUUUCGGUAUGUAAAGCUCUAUCAGCAGGGAAGAAAAUGACGGUACCUGACUAAGAAGCCCCGGCUAACUACGUGCCAGCAGCCGCGGUAAUACGUAGGGGGCAAGCGUUAUCCGGAUUUACUGGGUGUAAAGGGAGCGUAGGCGGCAUGAUAAGUCAACAGUGAAAGCCCGGGGCUCAACUCCGGGACUGCUGUUGAAACUGUCAGGCUUGAUUUCAGGAGAGGAAAGCGGAAUUCCUAGUGUAGCGGUGAAAUGCGUAGAUAUUAGGAGGAACACCAGUGGCGAAGGCGGCUUUCUGGACUGACAAUGACGCUGAGGCUCGAAAGCGUGGGGAGCAAACAGGAUUAGAUACCCUGGUA
rnacentral:rRNA from 1 species